CUCCUCGGGGCUCUCAUUCCAUCUCACUCCCUAAUUCCAUGGACUUGGCCGUGAGCAGCCAUCCCUUUCGCCGCCUUCCUUCCGGGGGCAUUUCCAGGUCUGAGGAGGGUCAUUCUGACAGUGCCGACAGGACGGAAGGCUGGAACCGCCGCUCGCCACUCGCGUCUCCUUCCUCCUUCUUUCCCAGCCGGGAGGGUCCUCCGGGGGCCGGGAUCAGACAGCAGCUGCCUCGGAAACCUGUGUGACGCCAGUAUUUAUUCGGGAGMCGGGGCCAAGAAGGUGAAAGUUUCUUCAGAGUUAAAGGAGGUUMCCAGAAAGUGGCGGGGGAGCGAUCUGUCGAGCGAGGGGCACAGCUCAGGAGCCCUCCGAGGGGAAGCAGAUUUUCUCUUCCAAAAUGACUUUACGAGUUCUGGUUUUGUGUUUGGCAUAUUCUGGGUUUGGAAAGGCAAAUGUGCUUGUGGAGGCUGAGCACAGAAAAGUGAAGAUGGGUGACAAUGUGACUUUGAGCUGUGCCCUGAAAUUCCCCAUGGAUGUUCUGCAAGUGACAUGGCAAAAGGACUCAGAAGAGUCACGCGUUAAUAUAGCUACAUACAGUAAACUAAACGGACUAAAGAUUCACAAGCCCUAUGAAGACCGAAUGAAUUUCACAAGUCUGGAACUCAACAGGACAAGCAUAAYUUUUUGGGACACUAGAAUGGAUGAUUCAGGAUGUUACAAGUGCCUCUUCAAUGUUUACCCUUUGGGCCCCAUCUCAGGAGAUACCUGCCUGAGUGUUUUUGGUCUCAAUGCAUCUGUCCAUUACAACAUUUCUGAAGAUCAUUUGAUAGCCAUAUGUAACGCUGAUGGCCUCCCAGAGCCCACCAUCACCUGGACCAACCUGUUCAAUUCUACUCCUACACAAACGACAGUCAAGCACAAGAAUGGGGUUGUGUCCAUCACCAGUCAACUGGAAAUCCACAACAUUCAGAGCAUCAGUGCACAGGAUCUGACCUGCAGAGUGAGCAACACAAAUGAGAAAAUUGAAUUGCCUGUGAAACUAAAAGGAGAGGAGGGAUCGUCCUUGCUUUGGCUGGUGAUUAUUGUGGUGAUUUUAGUAGUCGUCAUAGUUCUGAUUAUGCUCUUCUGGAGGAGGCCAACAUGCAGGAGGAGUUGAAGUGGGCUUUGUCUAUAACCAGAAAAUAAAAUGGCUGGCAGCUGAAAGGGAGAAAAAAUAGAAUUCCUGUGAUAUGUGAAUAGUUGCCUCGCUGUUUCAAUUUCUCAUUCACUUCCUUGGGUCCUGGAAGAUUUCUGUCCACCUACCAGGUCAUUAGAAGCCAGCAUCCUGAAAUCGAUAUUACAUGUAGCAACUUGAGUGGCUGGAAAGAAGCAACAAAAAAAAGGAAAAAACAUCAUAACACUGCCCUGUCUAAAAGCUGAGCUGAUGGCUGAAACAACUGAAAUAACAUUUGUUAUCUGGUCUAGGCCCUUAAUCCUAAACAGGAGGACUGGAGGCCAAACACUUGCCUGCUCUCCAGAGAUUUUGCCAGGCAGAACCUUCUUUGCCCAUGCCACUCUUGAUUCUGCUGCUGUGCAAAAUAUAUUUGUCUUCUUCCAGUUAAGUUUUGAAAACAUCCACAGGUAGAAGUGCUGUAGACUUCCUGGGGAUUCUCUUGCAGUGCAUAAUUGCUCUUGCAGUACAGAGGGAUUUCAUUUUUGCCAACAUCUGUCUGCAAUUUUAUGAACUCUGAGUUCAUCACCCUCUUCCUGUCAUCUGUUUUUUCUUCUUUUAUCCAUCUAUUCCAAUUCCUUUUUCUCUAUCUUGUAAGGACCUGCUGGAUGUAAAAAUCACAGGACUCAAACCACACCAAAUUAAUCAAAAUUAUUGGRGAAGAGCAAUAGGUCUCCAAGCAGGUGACUAAAUAAAGGCAGAAGCAGCCACAGUUUAGAAAGAACAGUUGUAAGUAAUUUAUGUAAUAUAUGUGAUUUACUUUAUUUGCAUCUUUCUAAUCCUGGAGUGUUUGAUUCUAUUUGUUUUGUUUUGUUUUGUUUUGUUUUGUUUUGUUUUGUUUUGUUUUGUUUUGUUUUGGGUUUUUUGUAUUUUUUGGGGAUGUGUGUGGUGGGGUUAAAUAUGUAAGUGAAGAGGAGAUGGAAACAAAGGCCAGUAGUGGAAACAUUGUCUUCUCCAUCUUUCCUUUCCUGUUAAUGCCCUAUCCUACUCCUUUCUGAGCUGCCAAAACUCAUGGACUUUGUCARCRGCUUUUGUGCUCAUCUUAUGCACARCUCAGAAUAACCUUCCCUGUCUUCAUCCAUGUUUMUUGUGUCUUUUUAAAUCACUUAGACGGCCAAAAGCCAUUAUUCUGUGGCUGGAGCUCACUGGGUGGGAUGUCACAUGCUGAGCUCGCUCUUCAGUGUCACUGCUGGGGCCGUGAUGGUACCAGCUGUGAUUUCAGUUUACAGAGACUGAGCUACUGAUUUCUCAUGGUUUUGGUAGCAGAUAAAGACACUGCCCUAUUCUUAGGAGCUGGGACCUAAUUCUGCUCCUGUCCCAGGUCAGAUUGGAGCUCCUCUCCCACCACCCCAGGUUGCUCAUCACUGCCUGCCCAAGCCYGCUGAUCUGGCCAUUUCCAGGCUUACAGCUCCAGUUUCCAGACCCUCUGUUGCUGUGAAGCAGCAGGCUGCUUAUGAGAGCUGUGCACUGGGCAUUGCCCUGCAGCUCCUCAUCCUUGUGAGGGAUUGAAGUCUCCAGGUGCCCUCUGCCUCUGAGCUUGUUUUGGUUGGGACAGAGUUGAUUUUCCUGAUAGAAGCUAGUAAGACACCACCUUUCCGACAGCCCCCAUCCCUCCUGGGGGUUGUGCAAGCAGCUCUGUGGUGCUUUGUUGAUGUCUGGGGUUAAACCAUGACGGCCUCUGAACACCUUCACAGGGCGCUGUGCCUGCCCCACAGGGUGAAGGUUGCUAAAAAAAGCCUGUCACUGGGUGUGCCUGCUCAGUGGCCCAUUUCACUGACAGGAUAGACAGACAGGAGGACUGCAGGGGCUCCACUGAUGAUUUUUUGUUCAGCUGAUGAGUGCUUAUAUUUAAGGUGCUUCUCAGUCUUCCUUCUGUCUGAAUGUUUGUCGUUGUGUUGGAUCACUAACAGUAUUCUCUUUUCUUUUGGCUYUGAUGAGCAUUUGAGCAUCUGAAAUGUUCCAUUUCACCAGAGUGCAGUGCAUUUUGGACUGUGCUUUUUGUGUCAUUUGUUUACUAAGGGUACAAGCUGUCAAUCUGAAACAUCAGCAAUGAAGAUUUAAAACUUAGGACUCAGCUCUCAGAAUAAGUGUUUUGUUGCUUCCAGAGCAGUGGCCUCUCCAGACUCUGGUAAAAAGUUUUCUAUGUGUGUUUGCUUGUGUUACUGAGGACAUGAAGGGUGGCAUUUGCUCUACUAUUGUAAGACAAUAUAAAUUAUUUAUUUAUAUAUUUCACUUUUUCUAAUAAAAAAAAAAAUCUGAUCCAACCAAAACACCAACUGGUCCUUUUAUCUUUUCCAUAAUUGUUUGGGAUACCAGCAAUGUGUCCUUUCAAGCUGGGCUUUUUAGUUGUUUUGAUUUAUACUUUGUUUCAUUUCUGUACAGAAAGAGGAAGUUCAUGGGGUUUUUAAGGUGCUGUGGGGUAUUUUUUCCUUUUAAAAAAGUUUUUAAACAAAACUUUUGAGAUAAAUUUACAGGAGUGUUUUUGACCAUAGCAGGUGCAGUUUAGUUCAGAUUUGAUAAUAACUUCAGUCAAUCAAAACAGURUAUCCUAUAUUUUUAGUUAUUGUCUGUGUCAUGGUUUUUACCUAAUAAUUUUUWAUCUAAAGUUACAUGCUCUACUGAUACAUUAUCUGUCUUGUUUUCUGUGUUUCCCUGGAUGAAAAGAAACCAAAUAAAGCAAAUUUGAACAUAA